CACCUCCUUCUUUUGUCUCGUGCUACUCUGCUUCGUACUCUCUGGGUAAAGACCAAAGUUUGGUCUUUUCAGCUUCCCAAAAUUUGCCAAUCACUAAAGUUGUAUAAAAGUCAACCUACUAUUUCCCAUGAUAAUUUUGCUACUAAUUUGGUCGUAUACUACGAGAGUAAUCAAUCGGUUUACGGAGCACAGGAAGAACGGUCCACCAAACGGGUAUGAACUACGAUUGAGGUACGAAGAAAAUCAGGGGUUGCCUUAGAGUGAGGAUGCAACCAUCAAAUUCACGAUCGAUGCUUAAUAAAGAUAAUCAUGUAUCACUAGUAAUAAUGGAUGAACAAAUUAAACUCUAAGUCAAAUUUCAAUUAUUGAGUUGGAUUUUAAUAUUUAUAUUUAAUCAAUUUUAGGAAUAUUUAUUAAAUUUCAUUUAGAUUUCGAUGUAAAUAUUAAAGAAUUAAUCGAAGUGAAGUAUAAUUACUGUUACUCAUCAGUAGUCAGUAAAUGUAAAAAGGUUAUGUCGCCUUGUAUUUCCCACGAGGAAAUUACGGCAUGUGACGCUCCGACUAAAUUAGGGUUUCCGCUGCUAAUUAAAGAUAAUUAACCUAAUUAAUGGUGUUUAGAAGUCGGGGUGUUACAAAACCAUAUCUCGCUAAUUUUUAAUAAGGUACAUCCGAAAUCGAUGCUAUUAUAAACUCAAUUUUUUUUAAUAUGUCAGCCAAUUGCAAUUAGAUCUUGAGAAUCGGUACGUCAACUCUAUAUUCUAACUAAGUGUAAAUUUUUACUUUGUUUCUGGCACUUUUCCUUUGUUUUAUACACAAGGGAACUUUUGUUUGCACGCUAUCUUGUAUGCGGUAAUACAUAUUAUUGUCUCAUAGUAAUUUAUUUGUUUGCUAUAUACGAAAUUAAUGUGUUUUUGUAGCACGAUAGGAUAUAUUUUUGUGGUUACCUUUUGAUAACUAUAUUGGAUUUGUUAAGUUUACAUGUGCGGAGUUGUUUCGGUUGAUUUCAAUCAUAUUUUUUGGUUCUUUAGAAAUUGUAUGUGCCGCAACUUUAUUCGGUGCUUUGCUAUUAUUUUUAAAGGGUUUGCUUAUUUCAUGAGAGUUAAUGAGUUAUAGCAAUUAUACAUUAUCAAUUUAUCAUGUAUUGAUGUCAAAUGUGGAAAUUUCAAUAUGUUUUGAUGAUAUUCUUACUCAUGGCAGUAGAUCUGUCAUAUUUCUUUUCAAGCGCAUAAUAGGUGACUCGUCUCGCAAAUUUAUGUUUUAAUAGUAUUUUGGGAUGAUAAUGACAUAUUAUGUUGUUUAGGUUUAUCAUGAUUAACCUCUCUUUGAUUAAUUUCCAAUAUUGAUUGUUGGCAAAUAGUCUGUCACUUUUAUUACCAAUUUUCAUAAGACUAAAAUACCAAGUUAUUCAUAGCCAAACGUAAAUUUCGUUAGCAUUUUUUGUGAAAAAAGCUAUAAUGCAUUUAUAUUCGUAUCAUGAUCUUAGAUAAAUUUUAAUAGUACUUUUUUCCAAUGAGUUUGAGCCAAAUUAUUACAAUAAAUCUCAUAUUAAAAACCAACAAAUUCUUUGGAGUAAUAUAUCUAAAGGAAAGAUAAGUAUGACCACCAGAAAAUUGUGAUAGAGAGUAUUACCAAAAGCUCGUUAUGAGUGGUUUCAUUAAGAUUACCUUAUUUUAGUCUAUGAGUGAAUGAACUCAACUAAGUUUAGAAUAAUUUCUUGAUUGAACUUAUGUGGGGAGGAAAUUACUCAUGCAAAUAGAUAAGAAAAUAUGUACUCCACCUUUCGUGCAAAUAAUGUUGUCCUGUAGACAUAAGAUCGAAAAAAAAGGUUUUAAGAAAUAUUCUGAAUUGAUAUCUUGUCUUCUCGUGGGUGAGAAAAAAUAAUGAGUUAUUGAUGAAAAAUUAAUAAUCAUGUCCAACUAGUCCUGCUUCAUUCCCUGAAGCGAAUGUGACAUCCCAUAAUGGGAAAGAAAACACCACACAACAAAAGUGGUCGAACACGUGGUCAUGGACGUGGGCGUGGAUACGAAUAUGGUCGAGUUCGAGGCCGAGGACGAGGUGGUUCUUUCAAUAACUCAUAUCCCCACCAGAAGUGGGACAAAGAUGGUAACAAACAAGAGAAAGAUAAAAAUGAUAUGUGACCAAUGUAUAUUACCGCAACGGAGAAAAAGGUUAUUCGUCUACUAAAACAAGUAGAAUUUAUAAUAGAAUUUACUAGAUAAUAUUGAAGAACUUAAAUAUGUGGUCUUGCUCUUCCCUGAAGAAAAUUAUUUAUCAAGGGUGUUAUAUGUUGAAAUGCGAAUAUACCUGUAGGGGUUUUUUUUUUGUGUCAAAACUUGUUUCCCGUUCUACAAGAGGGGCGGUUCUUUAGAAAAUCGUAGAAUUUUUGUACCUCGAAGGAGUCGCCACCCAACAUUGUUUAAAGUCUCGUUUGGAAAGACCGAAUGUGACUCUAUUUUGGAUAAGGCCUUGAAUCCUUGAAACGGAUGGGUGAGAUCCGGGCACGGGAACAAAAAUGCUUAUUCCGCGAGCUUUAGAAAUAUUCAAGUACGUUGGCACAACAUUUUUUCGAAAAUAUAUCCUAGAUUAGACUAUGUGGGUUUGAAUUUAGAGCAAAUUGAAUCUCUAAUUGUAUGGUGGUCACUUUGCUUUAAAGAUUGAUAUAAGGAACCUAAGGCCGGUUUGUCCAAAAAUAUCUUUGUUAAGCGUGAUGUAACCUUUGUAUUUUGUUGUAUUUAGCAUGUGCGGUGAUGAAAGCAAUAAAGCAAAUAAAGCAACAUCACAAUACUAAAUAAAGUGCGGAAUUAGUAAAUACAAGACCCCCUAGAAAAGGACUAGGGAGUAGGUCCACAUUGCCUAGAAAUGGACUAGGCAAGUAAAGAUGCGGAAUUGAAAGUGCGGAAUUGAAAUUGCGGUAUUGAAAGUGCGAUAUUGAAAUUGCGGUAUUGAAAGGUGCGAUAUUGAAAUUGCAAUAUUGAAAGGUGCAUAAUUGAAAUUUGUACUUGGGCACAUGAGAUUCGAACGCCAAGCGGCUCCUUAAAAAUAAGUGCGCCCGACACGAAUUCAAAGCCAAAAAUCUCAACUUGGGAGAGGUUGCUCAACGCAAAUAUCCUAGAUUUUGCAUGUUAAACUUGAACUUGAAAGCUUUAAUAUUGAAGUUUUGAACUUGAAAUAACUUGAAAUUUUAACAUGAAGGGAUCCUAGUUUAGGGAAAUAACCAUGAACAACCCUAAACAUGGUGGGAUCUUGAAAAUUGAAAAUUUGAACUUGUAUAUUGAAAAUGGAGUUUUGAAUCUCAAAAGACUAAACCUUUAAAUGUUAAAAGGUGUCAUCUUUGAUUACCCCAUUGUAUGAAGGUGAUUCUAGUCCAAGAGGUGAUUGUAAACAACUUGGACAUCCUUGAAUCUUGAAAAGUUGUAUUUUGUAUUUUGAAAAAGUUUGUAUUUUUGGAAAACAUGUAUGAUUGUUGCAAGUGGUGUUUUUUAAUGAUUAUAAAAACACCAACUUGCUAAUCAUUUAGAAAUCAAAGCAACAUAGUUGAUUAGAAUGGGAUUCGGAUUUACCUAGUUAGGUUUAGGCAAGAGCUCCCAAUUGAUUUUGAAUUUAGGAAUUUUGUAUGUGUUUUUGAGGAGUUUUGGAGUUGUAUUUUGAGGCGUAAUGUCAAAAUUACGACGUUGUAUUGUUGUUCUCCUCCUCAUUAUGCUGAAAAUGAGGGGUAUUUAUAGGGGAAAUGGAUGCAAGGCGCCAGCACACGUCAGCGCAGGGCGCUGGACCAGCGCUAGGCGCUGGUGACGUGGCUUGAAUGCCGCAAAAGUAAGGACGCGGCUCCGUCCUUGUUUCGUCUUGUAGUGUUGUACCUGUUGUACGAAUAGUACUAGGUUUGGCGUUUUGUAUUUGCUUGGAGGUUAAGGCAUCAUAUAGGGUCAAAAAACAAGCCUUUCUCGGAUUUUGAAUUUCGGUUUUUACGGGACGGGGCCCGGCAUGCUCGGUUUUGUGGGUCGGCGGCCGAAUUUGACUUGCCUUAUAUGAUUUUGAGUGGAAAAGGCUUAGUAAAACCAAUGGGAUAGUCUACUAGAUGAGAUUGUACUUGGAUUUUGAAAUUGGAUUUGGAAAGUUGUAUUUCGUACCAAGAACCGAAAGGGGAACGGUCUCGGGGUUGGAUUUUGGAUCUUGAAUUUUGGAAGCAUUCUUAGCAAUUGGGAUUUCCGCCUGGAGUUAUUCCAAUCACCUAAUAAGGAUAAUGGUAUCGUCAUCAUCCCAAAGGGGAGACACAAAUUAGGUGUCUACAGAAGCCCCCACUUUGACUGAGCGUUCGGUUAGGAAAGCGCAAGUCAAAGUAUUUCGAAAGGGACGGAGAAUGAUUAAGAUGUUCUGCAAUCGAGACCACUCUUUGUACGCCGGUACUGAAGGAAAUAAUGCCCUUGGUCCAAGUAUGCAUUUAAUGAUAAGUCUAAUAAAUGCGGUUCAUUAUUAAUUAAAGAAGUUAAUAAUUCAGUGAGAUCAAGUGAGCUGAAUGCCUAGCUAGAGGAUGCUUCAGUUCAAGUGGAAUUAAUGAUAUUAAUCCACAGCUUACUCUUGACUGAACCCGUAGGGUCACACAAAUAGUAUGUAAAAGGAUUAAGUAUUUAAUGGCAUUAAAUACUCCAUCUAUGGAUAUUCGGAAUCGACGGAUCUUUGUUUCAGUGGGAGCUGAGAUCGUCAAAAGCAAGAAAUGAAUACUCCGGAAACGAUGAUGUUGC